rnacentral:lncRNA from 1 species
UUGCAUCGAUAUCUGCUCCAGACACACCGAGUACUCGAAGAAACUACUUACAGCUAGGACAAUCGGGUAUAGAAUAACACAUUGAUAACUGGUCAAUUAAAUAUCUGAUCACAUGGCAUUGCAUAUAUAUCAGUACACCGCCCGCGAGUGCGCCAUUCGGUCAAACUCAAUACCUGCUUUGAGUAACAUGCGAUAUUUACUAAGAAUCUACCCGUAAACGCAUGACUCGUGUACGUACAGCGCUGUUGACAGAACGGAAAUAGAUCACGGCACCUCGUUGCCCCUCCGUCGGGGGUGCACAGUCAAACAGUGCAAGAAAUAUGGGAGAGAACUGUGUGUUUCUUAAUGGCGAUGUAAGCAACAGAGGAUCGAAAUAAACAGACAUUUCGCCUCACCAGUGUACAGAACAGAAACAGUAAAAAUUUAAAACGUUCUCGCCAGGGAAUAAUGAUUCUCGAUUAUCCGCCGAAAUAGAUUUCAUUAUGCGUAAUGGAUACGUAUAGAAAUGGAUCACUGAAAAUCAGUGAUGACACCAGGCGAAAAGGGCACAUUCUGCCCUAGCGAAAGCACCAGCCUCGACAGAUUUUGAAUUGAAACAAAACUAAUCGUGGACCAUGAAGAUCUGGAGUAGAAUUGGUCUCCAGCAACCCAUGCUUGACGUAAAAGGCGACUAUUGCUUGUCGUAAGAGGCGACUAACGGGAUUGGGUGGUCGGGCACGCUGACUUGGUUGAUGCAUGUUAUCGUAUCCCAGUUGCGUGAAACGAUGCUCACCAUAUCAGUCACUGGGUAUCCUGAGUGCGGCGCUAAACAACAAAGAAGUAAAGUAUUUCAGAUCCUGUCCUAAGAUAUCCUUAUUGGUUAACUGCCAGAUAUGUGGUAACCUCAGUUGACUCAGGUCACCUACAUUUUGUUCAUCAAAUAUGUAAAACGUCAACACCAGACAAUAAACAGUCUCAAUUAUCAGACGAAACAGAUCAUUCAAUCGGGCGUAAAAGGAAAAUAGCUGUGAAAAGUAUAUAAAUUGAUCACUGAAAAUCACUGAUGACUCCAGGUGUUCGCGAACAAAGGCUCCUACUGUAAAAAUACCGUGACGCAUAUUACGUAUUAAUUUUUUUGUGAGAGUUGAGUAUUUGCUUUUCUUUAAAUCUGUCUUAACAUAUAUUCGAAAAUGUUCUUUUAUCAGCUGAUGGAAAUUGCAAGCAAAAUUAGAAUAACAUACAAAUAUGUACAUGUCAUCGUCGAUUAUUUUAUCUCCAUUCCAUGAUGAUAUACAUACCCUACACCUAUACGCCACCAAAACAUCACUGCAAAGUGGCAUCACUAUCUCCAUCACCCGUAUCGCUAACCUUCCACAGAAUUUCUGUCGCUGGUUAACUUGAAUUCAACGACCAAUAAAAAUGUUCUUCUUGAAGAACAAAUCUACAAAUCAAAAUAGUGGCCGCGUUUAAGUGAGCCCUCGAUACUUUUCAAAUAAAGGAGUUUACAUCGAAUCAUAAUGAACUUCUAUCUGAAAAAAAGAUAUUAUCUUCAGGAAAAGAUUUCAGGAGUCUAGUGUUUGUAACAUUGUUACUUCCCCUUUACGGAAUUCACGUGACCAACAUUGAAUAAUUUGAUUAGCUGGUUAUAAUUAGAGGACUCAAAAUCUUGAUGAAAUUUUGUCACUGUGAAUAGAUGACGAAAAACACAUUAAGUUAUUUAUUUAGCUAUUAAUAACCAGUAUUUUAAAACAUGUAUUUAUAUAGUAUCUUACUCUGAAAAUAAUAUAUACUCGUAUCGAACCGAAUUUAAAAGAAUUUACUUUUAACUGAAAAGAUCUUUUCAAAACCAAACAUUUCAUUUGUGGUUGAUACAAACAUUCAUAAUAUUACAAAAAUGGAAACUGUGUUACCUUGAAGCUUUCGGCAGUCGGUUGGCAUGAAGAAGCAAGCGAAAUGGAAGAGAACGUACUGUUGUCUUCUAUUCAUUUAUUCAUGAAGUUAAUUAAAGACUGCUCUAAAACUGUUUAGUUUUGACAACAUUUGCAUAACUGAGGCCCUUAAACAAAGUACAGUUUGAGAUCAUUCAUUAUAAUGAAGAUAUCCAACAUGUGGUGGAAUUAAUCAACUAAAUUCAUAUUUUUAUGUAGGGAGUAAUUAUAAGAUACAUCUCUUUAAUGAUAUAUAAUCAGCCAAUGGGCCCGGAUGACAUACAUAGAGCCAUGAUGCUAGUGCUGGUGUUAAGGACAGGAUAUCUGAAAGGAGAGCAAAACAUCCCAUCAGUUAUGCCCAGCGACAUAUUUUGGUUCUGUAAACCCUUGGCCAAAAAUGUCUCUAUAUUAUUAUCCCUGACCUAUCAUUGACCUAUCAUUCAGAACCAUAGGCCUUCUACACCAUCCAAGUCUUCUCUUAACUGAAAGUUCAUAUUUCACUCCCGGUCCAGAUCACAAGAAGACAUCGGGCACGGAAAGACCCAUUCCUGUAGUGUAGGUGUGAUUGACGAGGACCACGGCAUUAAAACAUGUAGGCCACAAAAUCCAUGUGGAGGCAUCUACUAAAUUAUGUUUAUAUUGCAACACGAGACUUAAGUGCGUUCUUCAUGGUUACCGCAGGAAGGAAAUGUGACAAAUACGAUUCUGUUUGAAAGUUUCAAACUGUUUAAUGUUUCUUCUUGGUGGAUGUCGCACGAGGAAAUGUGACAAAUACGAUUCUGUUUGAAAUUUCAAACUGAAUUAAAAUAUGUUUUUCGUCAUGAUGGAUAUUGUCAUGAAGGAAAUGGUAUAAGUUCUUUGGUGGACAGGAAGGAAUUUUUUUUCGUUUGUCAUUUGUUCUCCUGAAAAAACACGAGACACGGCUCAAAAUAAUGACUUGCAGUAUAAAUCAUAUUUGUCACUGAUGACAUUGUCUAUGUCGGGAGGGUAGUUAUUAACUAAAUUAUUAGAUAAAUAAACAUAAUAUUUAUUGAGGACGCAGUUAAAUAUUGUUGUGUUUGAACGACAUGAAAAAGUUGCCAACAACCAAUUAUUCUGAACCAAAUCCCUCUUUAACCUCAUGUCAGUUUGGAAGAAGACAAAAAUCGGUAUUCUUAAUGAUAAAUGUAUUCCAUGCUUGACAUCCGGGUUAGAAUUGAUCUCCAGCAACCCAUGCUUGCUGUAAAAGACGACUAUGCUUUUCUUAAGAGGCAACUAACGGGAUCGGGUGGUCAGGC